GCUAGAUUUGAGUUUCCUUGGCGACCGGAGGGACCCACUUGGGGCAAUGACUCUGGAGAAUGCAGCACACACUUGAGAUCUCGCCGAACAGGUGUAAAUGAAGUCAAAUCGUUUCCUGGAAAUAAAUCUUUUGGACUUUAUCUGCAGCUCUUACUGAUAAGUGAAACAGAGAUAUAUGAACCUUUGCUGUGUGUUAAAUUAUUCACUCCAGGCCUGAACAAAAGUGAGCAUGGGCCAAUAGAACUGCACGCUGCCCAGCUCAGGUGCUUGUUAAUAAUGAAGUACUUAUCUUCAAGCCUCUGUUGAUGGUUUUUUUUUUUAAAUGUUUUGUCUCUCACUCAAUGCUGUAGUUUCUGAAUGACAGAGACAGGAAAACCGAAUCACUCCUCCAUCUUUCUGAGGGUCAGUACACGGACUUCAUCGAGGUUACCACGCGGAUCAGUUCAUCUGUGCCUCUAAUACGUUCAUGUUGAUUGUCUAGCGAGAUCAGUCUCCCAGUGUUACGUCGAGUUGUGCGUCAUUAAGAAUGGAGUCGAAUGUCUUUUAAAAUUCCACUUUUAAGAAGUAAAGGAUAUGAAUUACCUAUAAACUAGUGUUGUCAAAUGAUUAAUCGUGAUUAAUUGCAUCCAUGAUAAAAGUUUUUGUUUACAUAACAUAUGUAUGUGUACUGUGUUAAUUUAUUAUGUAUAUAUAAAUACACACAUACAGUAUGUAUUUUGAAAAUAUUUACAUGUAGAUACAUUUAUGUUCUUAUAUUUAAAUACAUAAACAUAACAUGUAUACAUGCAUGUGUGUUUAUUCAUACAUAAUGAAUACACACAGUUUAGACACAUAUAUUAUGUAAACAAACCCCUUUAUUUUGGAUGCGAUUAAUCGUUUGACAGCACUACUAUAAACACACAUGGACUAAUUACAGAACUAUUCGACGAUAUAACCAUAAUAACAAAUAUUUUAUUUAUUAGAAAACAAAGCUGAAGACAUUUUCUUGUGCAUUGCUAAAUAAAAUGUGCUUUGAUAGCUGUGUUUAUUCUUUUGACUGCCAUAUUUAGUUCAGAAAAUAUUUUUUUCACAUAAAAUAUUCUACAAUAAGCACAGCUUGCAGGUUCAUAGAUGCUCUUAAAUAGAUAAAAAGCAAUAGCAUUGCUGAUGAGGUGAAUAUUUGAACUGAAUGGUGUAUUAAUAGCUCAGAGUCACAGUGUUCAAUUGCAGCUCAGUUUCAGACAAAAGAGAGCACAAAUAAACCGCCAUAUUUAUAGCAACAGAAGACAACAUGAAAUACUAACUAUUGAAUAUGAUACAAACUAUGAACAGUAUCAUUUACCCAGUUUAUGCCUCUCCAUAUCAUUAGGGACACUCUUGUACUUCCAUUCAUGAACUGUUCAGCCGGAGUUCUUUCCUGUUUGGUGCUCUUACAUUUGUGUUUUUCUCGAAGCUGAUAAUUUUAUUCACAUUUGGCUGCUUUUUAAUAACAAAACUGUAAGAUAGCAUUAAAGACUAAACCAGAAUGCAUAAAGUCAACAUGUUUUCAUGGACUAGGUUUAAGGAUAAACUCUUAACACUCGAGAGGCCGUAUGAAACGCAGGCUGCUAGUUUGAGACCACUGGUUUGGUAGAUUUUAUAAGUCUUCCUAGAAUUUGAUGACACAUUUGGGACUGUCGCCUGUAACAAGAUUGGGCCCAUACUGGGGUCGGGGGAGAAAAAUGAUUCAUUGUGCUGUGACUCACUAAAUCGUUAGAUACAACUGAACAUUUGUGCACGGCCAAGAAAACAAGACACAACAUCUUCUAAACUAAAGUGGCAUUGCCUCCUCCGAUACCAUGUUUUCACACUGUCUUUUUUCUGUUGGCACAUCAGAGCAGACAUAUUUGUGUGGCUUCUAUGAAUCUUUACACAGAAUUGAACAACAAGCCAUUUUAAACACUGAAGCAGGUUUGGAA
rnacentral:lncRNA from 1 species